UUCACGAGACCUCGGCCUUGCUAGGUGGCUGCUGCAAAUGAUUUCAUAUUUUCAAACUGCAGGCAGUAAUGUCUUCAAGCAUUUUGGGCCCGUUCUACACGCAUGUGCACAGUCAAUAUUACCGCUGGAAACUUCUGAGUAAAAAUUAAAUCUUAGCCUGCGCAUUAUGUAAAGGAACAAUAAAGAGCCAUGCGUACGAGGGAACGUCUUUCCCUCUCUUACACGAAUUCUUGCACAAUACUUCGCCACUCCAUAACUUCCACUACUGUGGUGACGAGCCUCAGUCAACAAAUAUGCUUCACUUAUUAAAAACGCUCUGUAAAAUAUAUCUAUGAUUCUUAGUGCAUGACGACACAUCCAACGCUCUUACAACAUUUGCUACGAUCAUAAUAUGAAUGUACUUAUCAUAUAUUUUUCCAAACGUAAUAAAUAAACGCAAAGCAAGCAGUUCCUACC